rnacentral:rRNA from 1 species
GAUGAACGCUGGCGGCGUGUCUAAUACAUGCAAGUCGAGCGAACAGACGAGGAGCUUGCUCCUCUGACGUUAGCGGCGGACGGGUGAGUAACACGUGGAUAACCUACCUAUAAGACUGGGAUAACUUCGGGAAACCGGAGCUAAUACCGGAUAAUAUAUUGAACCGCAUGGUUCAAUAGUGAAAGACGGUUCUGCUGUCACUUAUAGAUGGAUCCGCGCCGCAUUAGCUAGUUGGUAAGGUAACGGCUUACCAAGGCGACGAUGCGUAGCCGACCUGAGAGGGUGAUCGGCCACACUGGAACUGAGACACGGUCCAGACUCCUACGGGAGGCAGCAGUAGGGAAUCUUCCGCAAUGGGCGAAAGCCUGACGGAGCAACGCCGCGUGAGUGAUGAAGGUCUUCGGAUCGUAAAACUCUGUUAUUAGGGAAGAACAAAUGUGUAAGUAACUAUGCACGUCUUGACGGUACCUAAUCAGAAAGCCACGGCUAACUACGUG